UACGUAGGGUGCGAGCGUUUGUCCGGAAUUAUUGGGCGUAAAGAGCUCGUAGGCGGUGUGUCGCGUCGGCCGUGAAAACCUGGGGCUCAACUCUGGGCGUGCGGUCGAUACGGGCAUCACUUGAGUUCGGCAGGGGAGACUGGAAUUCCUGGUGUAGCGGUGAAAUGCGCAGAUAUCAGGAGGAACACCGGUGGCGAAGGCGGGUCUCUGGGCCGUUACUGACGCUGAGGAGCGAAAGCGUGGGGAGCGAACAGG
rnacentral:rRNA from 1 species